rnacentral:rRNA from 1 species
CCUACGGGAGGCAGCAGUGAGGAAUAUUGGUCAAUGGCCGCAAGGCUGAACCAGCCAAGCCGCGUGAAGGACGAAGGUGCUAAGCAUUGUAAACUUCUUUUGUCAAGGAACAAAAUCAGGCUCGAGAGCCUGACCGAGGGUACUUGAAGAAUAUGCAUCGGCUAACUCCGUUCCAGCAGCCGCGGUAAUACUUAGGGGGCAAGCGUUAUCCGGAUUCACUGGGCGUAAAGGGAGCGCAGGCGGCGUGGCAAGUCUGUUGUGAAACUCCGCGGCUCAACCCCGGAACUGCAUUGGAGACUGGCGGGCUUGAGUGUCGUAGGGGUAGGCGGAAUUCCUAGUGGAGCGGUGAAAUGCGUAGAUAUUAGGAGGAACACCAGUUGCGAAGGCGGCUUACUGGACGAUGACUGACGCUGAGGCUCGAAAGCGUGGGGAGCAAACAGGAUUAGAUACCCCUGUAGUC